AACCUUAUGGACCUGCGGGCGUAUACCUGCGGAGGGAUCAUUACCGAGUUUACAACUCCCAAACCCCUGUGAACAUACCACUUGUUGCCUCGGCGGAUCAGCCCGCUCCCGGUAAAACGGGACGGCCCGCCAGAGGACCCCUAAACUCUGUUUCUAUAUGUAACUUCUGAGUAAAACCAUAAAUAAAUCAAAACUUUCAGCAAUGGAUCU
rnacentral:misc_RNA from 1 species